rnacentral:rRNA from 1 species
UACGUAGGGUGCGAGCGUUAAUCGGAAUUACUGGGCGUAAAGCGUGCGCAGGCGGUUCGUUGUGUCGGUGGUGAAAUCCCCAGGCUCAACCUGGGAACUGCGUCCGAUACUGGCAGGCUUGAAUCCGGGAGAGGGAUGUGGAAUUCCAGGUGUAGCGGUGAAAUGCGUAGAUAUCUGGAGGAACACCGGUGGCGAAGGCGGCAUCCUGGACCGGUAUUGACGCUGAGGCGCGAAAGCUAGGGGAGCAAACGGG